GUGCAUGUGAGUAUGGGUGUGCAUGGAUAUGUGGUAGUCAAAUGAUAACUUUUUUGGAGUUAUUUCUCUCCUUUCUCCUUGGGUUAGAGGGAGUAAAAAUCUGGCCAUCAGGUCUAUGUGACAUGUAUUUGCACUCUAAAUAAUAUUGUUCAGCUUACUUUUGAUAGUAGAGAUUAUAAAAGAUAUAAGGGCAUAUUUUGCUAUGGUUUUAAUUUACAUUUCUCUCAUGAGUAAUGAUGUUAUGCAUUUAUACAUUUCAAUGACUUUUAUUUGAUACAAAUCAAUUAGAAUCACAUACUAAUUUGUAAACAAGGUUAUUUGUCUUCUUGGUAUAGAGUACUUUGAUUUCCUUAUAAUUUUUCUUAAAUUUGUUUUUGUGUAUAUGUGUCUAAGUGUGUAGGGGUAGGUGGGAGGUGGUUAUGGAGGAUAUAAAUGCUUAUGAAUGUGCAGGGACAGAGGGAGACAGAGAAACAGAGAGAAAUAGACAGAUGGAGGGA
rnacentral:lncRNA from 1 species